rnacentral:tRNA from 1 species
UAAAAAUUAGUUAAUAUCUUAUAACAUAAGUUUGUCAAGCUUAAGUAAUUUUAAAAUAUUUUUAU